rnacentral:lncRNA from 1 species
AAAAGAGACCAGGGCUCAUAAAGUCCUGAUGGUCCUAAUUGCUUGCUCUGCUUUAGAUGAUUCAUUAUACAGGUGACUUUAUUAGUUGUAGAUGUGAAUGGAAAGCUGAUGAGCUUGACUUGAACAGGCAGCUGUUGCCAAAGAACCAUUGCAAUACUUGUAGAGGUGAGUUGUUUUUUUUUUUUUGCUGUUUUAUAUCUCUGAUAUCUAGCAAAUAGUGU